rnacentral:rRNA from 1 species
UUUUAUUUGAGAGUUUGAUCCUGGCUCAGGAUGAACGCUGGCGGCGUGCCUAACACAUGCAAGUUGAGCGAUUUACUUCGGUAAAGAGCGGCGGACGGGUGAGUAACGCGUGGGUAACCUACCCUGUACACACGGAUAACAUACCGAAAGGUAUGCUAAUACGGGAUAAUAUAUUUGAGAGGCAUCUCUUGAAUAUCAAAGGUGAGCCAGUACAGGAUGGACCCGCGUCUGAUU